rnacentral:rRNA from 1 species
GAGUCUGAGACCUGAUGCCGAGCCGAUUGUGGCGAAGUGGAUGAUCCUAUGCUGUCGAGAAAAGCCUCUAGCGAGUUUCAUGGCGGCCCGUACCCUAAACCGACUCAGGUGGUCAGGUAGAGAAUACCGAGGCGUUCGGGUGAACUAUGGUUAAGGAACUCGGCAAAAUGCCCCCGUAACUUCGGGAGAAGGGGGGCCAGCUCUGGUGAUGGACUUUACGUCCUGAGCUGGGGUUGGCCGCAGAGACCAGCGAGAAGCGACUGUUUACUAAAAACACAGGUCCGUGCGAAGCCGUAAGGCGAUGUAUACGGACUGACGCCUGCCCGGUGCUGGAACGUUAAGGGGACCGGUUAGCUCUGAUUCGUCAGGGCGAAGCUGAGAACUUAAGCGCCAGUAAACGGCGGUGGUAACUAUAACCAUCCUAAGGUAGCGAAAUUCCUUGUCGGGUAAGUUCCGACCUGCACGAAUGGCGUAACGACUUCUCGACUGUCUCAACCAUAGGCCCGGUGAAAUUGCACUACGAGUAAAGAUGCUCGUUUCGCGCAGCAGGACGGAAAGACCCCGGGACCUUUACUACAGUUUGAUAUUGGUGUUCGGUUCGGCUUGUGUAGGAUAGCUGGGAGACUUUGAAGCAUUAACGCCAGUUAGUGUGGAGUCGUCGUUGAAAUACCAGUCUGGUCGUGCUGGAUGUCUAACCUGGGUCCGUGAUCCGGAUCAGGGACAGUGUCUGAUGGGUAGUUUAACUGGGGCGGUUGCCUCCUAAAGAGUAACGGAGGCGCCCAAAGGUUCCCUCAGCCUGGUUGGCAAUCAGGUGUUGAGUGUAAGUGCACAAGGGAGCUUGACUGUGAGACCGACGGGUCGAGCAGGGACGAAAGUCGGGACUAGUGAUCCGGCGGUGGCUUGUGGAAGCGCCGUCGCUCAACGGAUAAAAGGUACCCCGGGGAUAACAGGCUGAUCUUCCCCAAGAGUCCAUAUCGACGGGAUGGUUUGGCACCUCGAUGUCGGCUCGUCGCAUCCUGGGGCUGGAGUCGGUCCCAAGGGUUGGGCUGUUCGCCCAUUAAAGCGGUACGCGAGCUGGGUUUAGAACGUCGUGAGACAGUUCGGUCCCUAUCCGCUGUGCGCGUAGGAAUAUUGAGAAGGGCUGUCCCUAGUACGAGAGGACCGGGACGGACGAACCUCUGGUGUGCCAGUUGUUCUGCCAAGGGCAUGGCUGGUUGGCUACGUUCGGGAGGGAUAACCGCUGAAAGCAUCUAAGCGGGAAGCCUGCUUCGAGAUGAGUAUUCCCACCUCCUUGAGAGGGUAAGGCUCCCAGUAGACGACUGGGUUGAUAGGCCAGAUAUGGAAGCCCGGUAACGGGUGGAGUUGACUGGUACUAAUAGGCCGAGGGCUUGUCCAUUGAUGCUCGCGUUCACUGUGU